AUAGAUACCCGGGUAGUCCAUGCCGUAAACGUUGGGCACUAGGUGUGGGACCCCCUCAACGGGUUCCGUGCCGUAGCUAACGCAUUAAGUGCCCCGCCUGGGGAGUACGGCCGCAAGGCUAAAACUCAAAGGAAUUGACGGGGGCCCGCACAAGCAGCGGAGCAUGUUGCUUAAUUCGAGGCAACGCGAAGAACCUUACCUGGGUUUGACAUGUACGGAAAAGCCACAGAGAUGUGGUGUCCUUUUGGGCCGUACACAGGUGGUGCAUGGUUGUCGUCAGCUCGUGUCGUGAGAUGUUGGGUUAAGUCCCGCAACGAGCGCAACCCUUGUCCUAUGUUGCCAGCGGGUAAUGCCGGGGACUCGUAGGAGACUGCCGGGGACAACUCGGAGGAAGGUGGGGAUGACGUCAAAUCAUCAUGCCCCUUAUGUCCAGGGCUGCAAACAUGCUACAAUGGCCAGUACAAAGGGCUGCUAUACCGCGAGGUUGAGCGAAUCCCACAAAGCUGGUCUCAGUUCGGAUUGGAGUCUGCAACUCGACUCC
rnacentral:rRNA from 1 species